AUUGAACGCUGGCGGCACGCCUAACACAUGCAAGUAGAACGAGUGGCGGACGGGUGAGUAAUGUCUGGGAAACUGCCUGAUGGAGGGGGAUAACUACUGGAAACGGUAGCUAAUACCGCAUACCAUCGGAUGUGCCCAGAUGGGAUUAGCUAGUAGGUGGGGUAAAGGCUCCCCUAGGCGACGACCCCUAGCUGGUCUGAGAGGAUGACCCGCCACACUGGGACUGAGAAACGGUCCAGACGCCUACGGGUGGCAGGAGGGGGGAAUAUUGCACAAUGGGCGCAAGCCUGAUGCAGCCAUGCCGCGUGUAUGAAGAAGGCCUUCGGGUUGUAAAGUACUUUCAGCGGGGAGGCGUUACCCGCAGAAGAAGCACCGGCUAACUCCGUGCCAGCAGCCGCGGUAAUUC
rnacentral:rRNA from 1 species